rnacentral:rRNA from 1 species
GAUGAACGCUAGCUACAGGCUUAACACAUGCAAGUCGAGGGGCAGCAUGACGAUAGCUUGCUAUUGUUGAUGGCGACCGGCGCACGGGUGAGUAACGCGUAUCCAACCUUCCCGUUGCUAGGGGAUAACCUUGCGAAAGUAAGACUAAUACCCUAUGAAGUUCUUCGCAGGCAUCUAAAGAGAACGAAAGAUUUAUCGGCAACGGAUGGGGAUGCGUCUGAUUAGGUUGUUGGCGGGGUAACGGCCCACCAAGCCCACGAUCAGUAGGGGUUCUGAGAGGAAGGUCCCCCACAUUGGAACUGAGACACGGUCCAAACUCCUACGGGAGGCAGCAGUGAGGAAUAUUGGUCAAUGGGCGAAAGCCUGACCCAGCGACGCCGCGUGAGGGAAGACGGUCUUCGGAUUGUAAACCUCUUUCAGCAGGGAAGAAGCAAGUGACGGUACCUGCAGAGAAGUCACGGCUAACUACGUG